rnacentral:rRNA from 1 species
GACGAACGCUGGCGGCGUGCUUAACACAUGCAAGUCGAACGGAAAGGCCCUGCUUUUGUGGGGUGCUCGAGUGGCGAACGGGUGAGUAACACGUGAGUAACCUGCCCUUGACUUUGGGAUAACUUCAGGAAACUGGGGCUAAUACCGGAUAGGAGCUCCUGCUGCAUGGUGGGGGUUGGAAAGUUUCGGCGGUUGGGGAUGGACUCGCGGCUUAUCAGCUUGUUGGUGGGGUAGUGGCUUACCAAGGCUUUGACGGGUAGCCGGCCUGAGAGGGUGACCGGCCACAUUGGGACUGAGAUACGGCCCAGCCUCCUACGGGAGGCAGCAGUGGGGAAUAUUGCACAAUGGGCGGAAGCCUGAUGCAGCGACGCCGCGUGCGGGAUGACGGCCUUCGGGUUGUAAACCGCUUUCGCCUGUGACGAAGCGUGAGUGACGGUAAUGGGUAAAGAAGCACCGGCUAACUACGUG